AGAAUCAACGCUGGCGGCGUGCCUAACACAUGCAAGUCGAACGAGAAAGUGGAGCAAUCCAUGAGUAAAGUGGCGCACGGGUGAGUAACACGUGACUAACCUACCUUUUAGUGGGGGAUAACCUAGGGAAACCUGGGCUAAUACCGCAUAACAUUUACGAGUCAAAGCAGCAAUGCGCUGAAAGAGGGGGUCGCGGUCGAUUAGUUAGUUGGCGAGGGUAAUCGGCCUACCAAGACUGUGAUCGAUA
rnacentral:rRNA from 1 species